rnacentral:lncRNA from 1 species
UGAUGAAAAACCUUUUAAAUCAUAGAAGAUAGUAUAUUUUAUUCUCUACUUGUCUCUUCUAAUGGAUUGCUUAUUCCGCUGCAGUUAAACUUGAUAGUUACUAUAUUUUAUCAGUUUAACACUGUUGAAGGCUAACGAUAAAUUAUUCUGCAUUAUCUUAGUCAUAAUAUUUCUUACUGGGCUAGUUGAGCUCACCCUUUCUUUCACUGUUCUCUCUAGGAAAUGAGAACGUAGCUGGGACUAGUCGUGAAACGGAG